CUUUCUCCAAGAGACCGACUCGUAACAAAACCAGUAUACUCUAGAUCGAUUGAGACUAAGAGAUAUAAGAGAAAAACGAUGCAUGCGAAGCAAAAGAUCAAGAAACUCGGGAAGUUUGGAAACGAUUACCAGCGCUGGUUGGAGCGGUUUAUUUUGCUGCACUAUUGCUUGUUACCACAGUUAUCAGUCUCAUCAUUGUGAAAAAUCGCAGGGCUAUGGUCAAAUCACUUCUGGAUAUGAACCACUUGAAUGAAAUCGAAGCCAAAACUGAGCUCAACUUGACAUCUGGCGUUCUGAUUUGCAA